GUGUCAGCCGCCGCGGUAAUACGGAGGGUGCAAGCGUUAAUCGGAAUUACUGGGCGUAAAGCGCACGCAGGCGGUCUGUCAAGUCGGAUGUGAAAUCCCCGGGCUCAACCUGGGAACUGCAUUCGAAACUGGCAGGCUGGAGUCUCGUAGAGGGAGGUAGAAUUCCAGGUGUAGCGGUGAAAUGCGUAGAGAUCUGGAGGAAUACCGGUGGCGAAGGCGGCCUCCUGGACGAAGACUGACGCUCAGGUGCGAAAGCGUGGGGAGCAAACAGGAUUAGAAACCCCAGUAGUCC
rnacentral:rRNA from 1 species